ACGCCCUGCUUCGGCAGGGAGUGGCAAACGAGGUAGUAACACGUGGGAACGCACCCUAUAGUCAGGAAUAACCCGUCGAAAGGCGGAUUAAUACCUGAUGGUCCCUUCGGGGUAAAGAUUUAUCGCUAUAGGAGCGGCCUGCGAGAUAUCAGCUUGUUGGUAGGGUAACGGCCUACCAAGGCUUCGACGUCUAGGGGAGGUGAGAGCCUGACCCCCACCGAUGGCACUGCGACACGGGCCAUACUCCUACGGGAGGCCGCAGUCGAGAAUCUUCCGCAAUGGGCGAAAGCCUGACGGAGCGACGCCGCGUGGCUGAUGAAGUCUUUCGGGACGUAAAAGCCUUUUCUGGAGGAAGAAGUUUAUUGACGGUACUUCAGGAAUAAGGGGCACCUAAUCACGUGCCAGCAGGUGCGGUAAUACGUGAGCCCCAAGCGUUACUCGGAAUUACUGGGCGUAAAGGGUGUGUAGGCGGUUAUGUUAGUCUCUCGUUAAAUAUACGGGCUCAACCUGUAUGCUGCGAGAGAAACGGCACAACUAGAGGAUGCGAGAGGUCUAUGGAACUCACGGUGUAGGGGUGAAAUCCGUUGAUAUCGUGGGGAACACCAAAAGCGAAGGCAAUAGACUGGCGCACUCCUGAC
rnacentral:rRNA from 1 species